rfam:Oryza glumipatula chromosome 12, whole genome shotgun sequence.
CCUCCGUCCACAAACCCUGAUUUUUCGUGUCAAAUUUUGACUGUCCGUCUUAUAUUAAAUUUUUUUAUAAUUCGUAUUUUUAUUAUUGUUAGAUGAUAAAACAUGAUUAAUAUUUUAUAUGUGACUUGUCUUUUUUACUUUUUUCAUAAUUUUUUUAAAUAAGACGGACGGUCAAAUGUUGGACACGAAAAUCAGGGUUUGUCUUUUU